rnacentral:rRNA from 1 species
GGUUAAGCGACUAAGCGUACACGGUGGAUGCCCUGGCAGUCAGAGGCGAUGAAGGACGUGCUAAUCUGCGAAAAGCGUCGGUAAGGUGAUAUGAACCGUUAUAACCGGCGAUGUCCGAAUGGGGAAACCCAGUGCAAUUCGUUGCACUAUCGUUAACUGAAUACAUAGGUUAACGAGGCGAACCGGGGGAACUGAAACAUCUAAGUACCCCGAGGAAAAGAAAUCAACCGAGAUUCCCCCAGUAGCGGCGAGCGAACGGGGAGCAGCCCAGAGUCUGAAUCAGCUUGUGUGUUAGUGGAACGGUCUGGAAAGUCCGACGGUACAGGGUGAUAGUCCCGUACACCAAAAUGCACAGGUUGUGAACUCGAAGAGUAGGGCGGGACACGUGGUAUCCUGUCUGAAUAUGGGGGGACCAUCCUCCAAGGCUAAAUACUCCUGACUGACCGAUAGUGAACCAGUACCGUGAGGGAAAGGCGAAAAGAACCCCGGCGAGGGGAGUGAAAAAGAACCUGAAACCGUGUACGUACAAGCAGUGGGAGCACCUUUAUGGUGUGACUGCGUACCUUUUGUAUAAUGGGUCAGCGACUUAUAUUCUGUAGCAAGGUUAACCGUAUAGGGGAGCCGCAGGGAAACCGAGUCUUAACUGGGCGUUAAGUUGCAGGGUAUAGACCCGAAACCCGGUGAUCUAGCCAUGGGCAGGUUGAAGGUUGGGUAACACUAACUGGAGGACCGAACCGACUAAUGUUGAAAAAUUAGCGGAUGACUUGUGGCUGGGGGUGAAAGGCCAAUCAAACCGGGAGAUAGCUGGUUCUCCCCGAAAGCUAUUUAGGUAGCGCCUCGUGAAUUCAUCUUCGGGGGUAGAGCACUGUUUCGGCUAGGGGGUCAUCCCGACUUACCAACCCGAUGCAAACUACGAAUACCGAAGAAUGUUAUCACGGGAGACACACGGCGGGUGCUAACGUCCGUCGUGAAGAGGGAAACAACCCAGACCGCCAGCUAAGGUCCCAAAGUCAUGGUUAAGUGGGAAACGAUGUGGGAAGGCACAGACAGCCAGGAUGUUGGCUUAGAAGCAGCCAUCAUUUAAAGAAAGCGUAAUAGCUCACUGGUCGAGUCGGCCUGCGCGGAAGAUGUAACGGGGCUAAACCAUGCACCGAAGCUGCGGCAGCGACACGAUGUGUUGUUGGGUAGGGGAGCGUUCUGUAAGCCUGCGAAGGUGGCCUGUGAGGGUUGCUGGAGGUAUCAGAAGUGCGAAUGCUGACAUAAGUAACGAUAAAGCGGGUGAAAAGCCCGCUCGCCGGAAGACCAAGGGUUCCUGUCCAACGUUAAUCGGGGCAGGGUGAGUCGACCCCUAAGGCGAGGCCGAAAGGCGUAGUCGAUGGGAAACAGGUUAAUAUUCCUGUACUUGGUGUUACUGCGAAGGGGGGACGGAGAAGGCUAUGUUAGCCGGGCGACGGUUGUCCCGGUUUAAGCAUGUAGGCUGGUUAUCCAGGCAAAUCCGGAUAAUCAAGGCUGAGGUGUGAUGACGAGGCACUACGGUGCUGAAGUAACAAAUGCCCUGCUUCCAGGAAAAGCCUCUAAGCAUCAGGUAACAUCAAAUCGUACCCCAAACCGACACAGGUGGUCAGGUAGAGAAUACCAAGGCGCUUGAGAGAACUCGGGUGAAGGAACUAGGCAAAAUGGUGCCGUAACUUCGGGAGAAGGCACGCUGGUGUGUAGGUGAAGUCCCUGCGGAUGGAGCUGAGACCAGUCGAAGAUACCAGCUGGCUGCAACUGUUUAUUAAAAACACAGCACUGUGCAAACACGAAAGUGGACGUAUACGGUGUGACGCCUGCCCGGUGCCGGAAGGUUAAUUGAUGGGGUUAUCCGUAAGGAGAAGCUCUUGAUCGAAGCCCCGGUAAACGGCGGCCGUAACUAUAACGGUCCUAAGGUAGCGAAAUUCCUUGUCGGGUAAGUUCCGACCUGCACGAAUGGCGUAAUGAUGGCCAGGCUGUCUCCACCCGAGACUCAGUGAAAUUGAACUCGCUGUGAAGAUGCAGUGUACCCGCGGCAAGACGGAAAGACCCCGUGAACCUUUACUAUAGCUUGACACUGAACAUUGAGCCUUGAUGUGUAGGAUAGGUGGGAGGCUUUGAAGCGUGGACGCCAGUCUGCGUGGAGCCAACCUUGAAAUACCACCCUUUAAUGUUUGAUGUUCUAACGUGGGCCCCUAAUCGGGGUUGCGGACAGUGUCUGGUGGGUAGUUUGACUGGGGCGGUCUCCUCCCAAAGCGUAACGGAGGAGCACGAAGGUUAGCUAAUCCUGGUCGGACAUCAGGAGGUUAGUGCAAUGGCAUAAGCUAGCUUGACUGCGAGCGUGACGGCGCGAGCAGGUGCGAAAGCAGGUCAUAGUGAUCCGGUGGUUCUGAAUGGAAGGGCCAUCGCUCAACGGAUAAAAGGUACUCCGGGGAUAACAGGCUGAUACCGCCCAAGAGUUCAUAUCGACGGCGGUGUUUGGCACCUCGAUGUCGGCUCAUCACAUCCUGGGGCUGAAGUAGGUCCCAAGGGUAUGGCUGUUCGCCAUUUAAAGUGGUACGCGAGCUGGGUUUAGAACGUCGUGAGACAGUUCGGUCCCUAUCUGCCGUGGGCGCUGGAGAAUUGAGGGGGGCUGCUCCUAGUACGAGAGGACCGGAGUGGACGCAUCACUGGUGUUCGGGUUGUCAUGCCAAUGGCACUGCCCGGUAGCUAAAUGCGGAAGAGAUAAGUGCUGAAAGCAUCUAAGCACGAAACUUGCCCCGAGAUGAGUUCUCCCUGAGACUUUAAGUCUCCUGAAGGAACGUUGAAGACGACGACGUUGAUAGGCCGGGUGUGUAAGCGCAGCGAUGCGUUGAGCUAACCGGUACUAAUGAACCGUGAGGCUUAACCUU